GGGACUAAAGUAAAAUCUUUUGGAAACACAUGUGUUAGAACUUCAGAUUUUAACUGAUGAAGUGAUUAAGUGAAAUAACAUUGUCACUAGCACUGGUCAGAUAUGCUGACAUCAAAAACAUUCAUUAAGAAAACAAAAACCGGGAAAAUCUUAAAGAUUGUACGUGAGCAUUAUCUUCGAGAUGACAUAACGUGUGGUGUUGAAAGUUGCAGAGAAUGUGAUGGGCCGCACACUUUGGAGGCUGCCUCUACCAGCCCCAGUGAAAUGUGCCAAGGAGAGCACCUUCUUUGUCCAGAUACAAACGUUAUACUACACCAGAUUGAUGUUAUUGAGGACCACAGGAUAAGAAACGUGAUAAUUCUACAGACUGUUUUAGAAGAGGUUCGUCACAGAAGCAUACCAAUAUACAAGAGGUUGAGAGACAUCUUGUGUAAUCCAGACAAGCAUUUCUAUAGUUUCUGUAAUGAGUUUAACAAACAUACAUAUGUAGAGAGGGAAGCUGGGGAGUCCUCUAAUGACAGGAAUGACCGGGCGAUCAGGGAGGCUGUUAAAUGGUACAACAAACAUCUACAGACCAGCAGACAGAUACAGACUCUACUGCUGACCAAUGACGCAGACAAUAGGAAGAAAGCCCUGGACCAGGGAAUUCAGAGUUACACAAUACAUCAAUAUGUGAGGAGUUUAAAGGAUGGAAAAGACCUAGUGGAUAGAUUAUCACUUUCUGGCUCUAAAGUGUUUUCAGGUGACAAGGUGCAGUACCCUGAGCACCUCCCACUGUCAGCCAUACAGAAGGGUCUGAAGACUGGAAAGUAUCUCCAGGGAAAGUUCAUGGCCAGCCGAGAGAAUUACACAGAGGCUAAUGUCAGUGUUGCAGAUCAAGAGAAAAUGAUAUUCAUACAAGGACUUCAGAAUUUGAAUCGAGCUGUCCAUGAUGAUAUCGUUGCCAUAGAGAUGCUGAAAGAGGAAGACUGGACUUGUCCGUCAUCUGUCAUUCUCGUUCACACUGAGGAGAAAGACGACACUGAUGAGGAAGAAGAGAAAGAGAAUUUGGAGAAGAAGCGUAGAAAAGUUCCAAAAGAAUUGAGACAACCUACAGGAAAGGUUGUGGGGAUCAUCAAGAGAAACUGGAGACAGUACUGUGGCAUGUUACAGCCCUCCAUCAUCAAACAGGUGCAGUGCCAUUCUAAAUAAACUACCUUAGUAUUUAUACAAUGAACAGUGUGUCAGGUAUGGUGGCAUCCUUCAAAAAAACCAUGCUAUAGUUCUACAGUGUGUCAGGUACAUAUGUACAUUGCUAUCUAAAUCAAACCACCUCUAUGGUUAUACUGUGUAUCUGUAAAAGUGACAUCUAAAUUUAGAGCCUGUAUAGAUACAUGUUUACAGGCGCAAUUUUUUUUUAUGAUAAAAUCCAAUAUCAUGAUGUUGUUCCCCUCGUAAUGACUCUUUCAGUAAUAAUUUUUUUAAAAAAUGCUUAUGUCUGAGUGCAUAGGUAAUUUUAAGUGGGAAAUUAAAUUCUUAAGUGAGGAAGAGACAUAAUAGAUGUUCGUUUGUGGUGCUUACUUGAAGGCCACCAGGCAUUUAGUGGUCACUGCUGAUAAAAGAAUUCCAAAGAUUCGGAUAGAGACCAGACAAGCGGCAGAUUUAAUGGGUCAGAGGAUUGUAGUAGCCAUUGACAACUGGCCAAGAACAUCUAGAUACCCACAGGGACAUUUUGUAAGGAAGCUUGGCAAUGUUGGAGACAAAGAAACAGAGAAUGAAGUUCUGUUGUUAGAGCAUGAUAUUCCUCAUGCUGGAUUCUCGGAGGCAGUUCUCAACUGUCUGCCCACACUGCCAUGGGAAAUCACAAAGGAGGAUAUGGAGCGUCGGGAGGACUUCCGUGACCUCGACAUAUGCAGUGUUGACCCCCCAGGCUGUACAGACAUUGAUGACGCCUUACACUGUAGGGACCUCCCAAAUGGGAACCUCGAGGUUGGGGUACACAUAGCAGAUGUGUCUCACUUUAUCCGGCCAGGGACGGCCAUUGACAAGGAGGCAGAGAGGAGAGGGACAACUGUAUACCUCACAGAUAAGAGGAUUGACAUGGUUCCUGAGUUGCUGAGCUCUAACCUUUGUUCCUUGAGGUCCAAUGUUGAAAGAUUUGCCUUUUCUGUUAUAUGGGAGAUCACAAACGAUGCGGAGAUUGUUAAGGCAAGAUAUGCUAAGAGUGUCAUCAAAUCUAAGGCUGCACUAACAUAUGCUGAGGCCCAGAUGAGAAUCGAUGAUCCUAGUAUGACAGAUGCUGUCACUAAAAGCCUUCGCAACCUCAACAGACUGGCCAAAAUUCUCAAGAAAAAGAGAAUGGAAAAGGGAGCAUUAACUCUAGCAUCCAAUGAGGUGCGAUUCCAUAUUGACAGUGAGACACAUGACCCCAUUGAUGUGGAAACCAAACAAAUCAGAGAGACAAAUUCCAUGGUGGAGGAGUUUAUGUUGCUGGCUAACGUUUCUACAGCUCAGAAAACCCUCCAGGAGUUCCCUGACUGUUCCUGUUUGAGGAGACAUCCCUGUCCCCCACCCUCAAACUUUGAUCCCCUCAUAAAGGCAGCACAGUCAAAGGGCUUCAGGAUUGAUGUGUCAAGUGGUAAGGCUCUUGCAGACAGUUUAGAGAGGGCUGUCCUGCCUGAUGAUCCGUACUUCAACGUGAUGUUACGAAUAAUGACCACACGCUGUAUGGCCCAGGCGGUCUAUUUCUGUAGUGGAAUGUUACCGCCCUCGGAAUACAUCCACUACGGUUUGGCUGCAGAGAUCUAUACACAUUUUACUUCUCCAAUUAGAAGGUACUCAGACAUUAUUGUUCAUCGGUUGUUGGCAGUGUGUAUUGGAGCUGAUGCUUCUUAUCCAGAGUUGACAGAUAAAUAUAAGACACAGGCUGUUUGCAACAAUUUGAACUAUCGCCAUAAGAUGGCCCAGUAUGCAGGCAGGGCAUCUGUGAAUCUUCACACACAUAUUUUCUUUAAGAACAGACAUGUUGAUAAUGAGGGUUAUGUGCUGUUUGUGCGUAAGAAUGCCUUGCAAGUCUUGAUUCCCAAGUAUGGCCUGGAAGCCACACUGUAUCUGGACUCCAAGACAGUGACUUUUGAGUAUGAUGAACAGGAACACACCCAGACGUGUGGAGAGAAGGUGUUCCGCGUGUUUGAUAGAGUCAUUGUUCAGCUGACCAUCGAUCAGUCCAACCUACAGCAUCUCAAGCUACAGACAAAACUCGUGGAGCCCAAGAUUGAGGGUUUUAGUGUUCCUCCCUCCACACCUUCAGAGACCAGUGAUGAACCACCACUGAAGAAGAAAAAGAAAACCUGAGAAGCUAUAUGUCUAAUAGCAAGAGAGCUAGUCGUACAUGUGCUCUUGCUGCUUCAUUGUCAUCAAGUACACUCACCACGAGUUUUGGAGAAAUGUCUGUUCAGGACCAUUGUUAUAUUUGUUGAUUCCACUUCAGGAUGAACUUUGUUUUGCAUUUGGUCAAGUGCAAUGUUGAUGAACAGAUAUUUCAAACUUUUUUUCAUAUUGUUAGCAACAAUAAAAAGAAGAACAUCCUCUUC
rnacentral:misc_RNA from 1 species